rnacentral:rRNA from 1 species
UCCUACGGGGGGCAGCAGUGAGGAAUAUUGGUCAAUGGGCUUACGCCUGAACCAGCCAAGUCGCGUGAGGGAAGACUGCCCUAUGGGUUGUAAACCUCUUUUGUCCUGGAGCAACUCCGGCUACGUGUAGCCGGACUGAGAGUACCUGACGAAAAAGCAUCGGCUAACUCCGUGCCCUCCGCCGCGGUAAUACGGCGUAUUCGAUCGUUAUCCGUCUUUAUUGGGUUUACAGGUUGCUUAGUC